rnacentral:rRNA from 1 species
UACGAAGGGGGCUAGCGUUGCUCGGAAUCACUGGGCGUAAAGCGCACGUAGGCGGAUCGUUAAGUCAGGGGUGAAAUCCUGGAGCUCAACUCCAGAACUGCCUUUGAUACUGGCGAUCUCGAGUUCGGGAGAGGUGAGUGGAACUGCGAGUGUAGAGGUGAAAUUCGUAGAUAUUCGCAAGAACACCAGUGGCGAAGGCGGCUCACUGGCCCGGUACUGACGCUGAGGUGCGAAAGCGUGGGGAGCAAACAGG